UUGGAGGGCAAGUCUGGUGCCAGCAGCCGCGGUAAUUCCAGCUCCAAUAGCGUAUAUUAAAGUUGUUGCAGUUAAAAAGCUCGUAGUUGAAUUUCGGGAUCAAUUUGCUGGUCGUGCCUCUGGUACGUACUGGUAUUAUUGGUUUCUCCCUUCUGACGAACCAUGAUGUCAUUAAUUUGAUGUCGUGGAGAAUCAGGACUGUUACUUUGAAAAAAUUAGAGUGUUUAAAGCAGGCAUUAGCUUGAAUACAUUAGCAUGAAAUAAUGAAAUAGGACGUUUGAUCCUAUCUUGUUGGUUUCUAGGAUUGACGUAAUGAUUAAUAGGGAUAGUUGGGGGCAUUAGUAUUCAAUUGCCAGAGGUGAAAUUCUUGGAUUUAUUGAAGACUAACUACUGCGAAAGCAUUUGCCAAGGAUGUUUUCAUUAAUCAAGAACGAAAGUUAGGGGAUCGAAGACGAUCAGAUACCGUCGUAGUCUUAACCAUAAACUAUGCCGACUAGGGAUCGGAUGAUGUUAAUUUUUUAAUGACUCAUUCGGCGCCUUACGGGAAAC
rnacentral:rRNA from 1 species